UGGCUUAGAGUUUGAUCCUGGCUCAGGAUGAACGCUGGCGGCGUGCCUAAUACAUGCAAGUCGAGCGGUAAGGUUCUGCACCUAGUAUUUGAACGAGAUAAGUCCCUAGGGAUACUAUCCGAAAACAUCAUUCUCACGGCUUGAGAGCGAUGGUCGAAUGUUAAGUGUAGAAUACACGAGCGGCGGACGGCUGAGUAACGCGUAGGAACGUACCCCAAAGUGAGGGAUAACUGCUCGAAAGAGUAGCUAAUACCGCAUGUGGUCUUCGGAUUAAAGCUUCGGCGCUUUGGGAGCGGCCUGCGUAUGAUUAGAUAGUUGGUGAGGUAAUGGCUCACCAAGUCUACGAUCAUUAGCUGGUCUGAGAGGAUGAUCAGCCAGACUGGGACUGAGAACGGCCCAGACUCCUACGGGAGGCAGCAGUAGGGAAUUUUCCACAAUGGACGAAAGUCUGAUGGAGCAACGCCGCGUGCAGGAUGAAUGCCCUUGGGUUGUAAACUGCUUUUAUGAGUGACGAAUAUGACGGUAGCUCAUGAAUAAGGACCGGCUAACUCCGUGCCAGCAGCCGCGGUCAUACGGAGGGUCCAAGCGUUAUCCGGAAUUACUGGGCGUNAAGAGUUGCGUAGGUGGCAUUGUAAGUAGAUAAUGAAAGCGUGGAGCUCAAACUCAUAUCCUUAUCUAAACUGGCAAGCUAAAGGGCGAAAAAGGUUACUAAAAAUUCUUUGUGGAAGAGUGAAAUCCCUAAAUUUUAGGGAGGAUUACCGAUGGCGUAGGCAGGUAACCUGGCUUCGUCCUUGACACUAAGGCCCAAAACCGGGGGUAACAAACCGGAUUAAAAACCCCGGGUAAUCCACCCCC
rnacentral:rRNA from 1 species